AUCCUUAGGGUUUAAAACGAUCAGCUUCUGCCGUUGUGGCGAUCAAAAUACACAUAAGAUAACGAAUUGUUAUUUACUGAUAAUACCUAAAAGAAGAAGAUCUUUUGUAUAGAUUCCUACAAAUAAAGUGAUCGAGCAGGCACUCGAUCUUCUAUAGCUUGAACUGCCAACAAAACAACAUCUUUCAAUAUUGGAGUUAUCUCGAGAAACCUUGUUUAUUUCCUAGUUUAUCCUUUAGCUUAUAUCAAUUACACGUAUAUAAAAGUGGCGACGAGAUAAUUGGCAAACGCGUGUGAAAAAUAGCUAUCCAGCAGAAGAGAACGUGAAGUUUUUGUAUAUUCAUCGCCAUUGAUAGCUAGCAGUGGAAAAAUGGGUAAAGGUACAUGGUAGUGCAUGGAGUAUUCGUCCCUGGAGUCCUGGUUCAAGCUAAAAGUUUAGCUCUACACAAUAUGAUGGACAGAGGCGACACAAGCUGCGUUACAGCAGUUCUCACAUCGAUUGACCACGAUCCAAUGAUCAUCGGCGUAUGGAUGGCGAAAAUGUUCGCUGCGAUAUUCCAUGAGAUACGCUAUAGCCUGAACGAACAUCCUGUUGAAGCAGAUCCGAACAAUCCGCCAGGAAGAUCGAAAAUUCGACAUGAAUCGGAAUCGAGUUUUAAUGCUUUGCUUGAGAAAGUCAAAUGGCUUGUUUUAGAAGAUUAUUGUUUUGAAAGUGUACUAUAUUCUAUACCAAAAGUGCGAAUUUUUGUGUAUAUUAGAUUUGACAGUGUCUAUUGAUAAUUAAGAUUAGAAUGAAUGCUAUUCGCGGUUCAGCAAUCACAAAAUGAUGUUUGAAACUUCUACAGAGGGAAGAAUUGUGGUGAAUACCAUCCUUAGGGUUUAAAACGAUCAGCUACUGCCGUUGUGGCGAUCAAAAUACACAUAAGAUAACGAAUUGUUAUUUACUGAUAAUACCUAAAAGAAAAAGAUCUUUUGUAUAGAUUCCUACAAAUAAAGUGAUCGAGCAGGCACUCGAUCUUCUAUAGCUUGAACUGCCAACAAAA